UACGUAGGGACCGAGCGUUGUCCGGAAUCAUUGGGCGUAAAGAGCGUGUAGGCGGCCAAUUAAGUCCUGCGUGAAAUCUCGGGGCUCAACCCCGAGCGGUCGUGGGAAACUGGUUGGCUAGAGUGCGGGAGAGGAGAGUGGAAUUCCUGGUGUAGCGGUGAAAUGCGCAGAUAUCAGGAGGAACACCGGUGGCGAAGGCGGCAUCCUGGACCGGUAUUGACGCUGAGGCGCGAAAGCUAGGGGAGCAAACGGG
rnacentral:rRNA from 1 species